AGGAUCAGAAAACAUGAUGUUGAAUGAAAUGUGCACCAUUCCAGCCUCACAAAACUUGGAUCCUAACAGUCUCAGUUCACAGAAUCUCUGCAGAUUCAAUCUGGCAUCAAAUAACAGCCCAUUCUUCUCUGCCACCAUGGCCACUGGGAGCUGAUGAGGACAAAGAUACAGCACCUUAGCUACAGAGAAGAAGAAAGAAGUGCUUUCAGGGUCGCUCUGAAGACUGAAGGGUAGAAGUCUAGAAGAAAGGCAGUUGGCCCACUGUGCUCCACUGUUUCUAAGCUCCCGAUUCAGCAAACCUCUCGGGACACAGACCUAAUGCAUCCUUCUACUGAAA